rnacentral:rRNA from 1 species
GACGAACGCUGGCGGCGUGCUUAACACAUGCAAGUCGAACGGAAAGGCCCUGCUUGCAGGGUACUCGAGUGGCGAACGGGUGAGUAACACGUGCGUGAUCUGCCCUGCACUUCGGGAUAAGCCUGGGAAACUGGGUCUAAUACCGGAUAGGAGCCAUUUUUAGUGUGAUGGUUGGAAAGUUUUUUCGGUGUAGGAUGAGCUCGCGGCCUAUCAGCUUGUUGGUGGGGUAAUGGCCUACCAAGGCGGCGACGGGUAGCCGGCCUGAGAGGGUGGACGGCCACAUUGGGACUGAGAUACGGCCCAGACUCCUACGGGAGGCAGCAGUGGGGAAUAUUGCACAAUGGGCGCAAGCCUGAUGCAGCGACGCCGCGUGGGGGAUGACGGCCUUCGGGUUGUAAACUCCUUUCGCUAGGGACGAAGCUUUUUGUGACGGUACCUAGAUAAGAAGCACCGGCUAACUACGUG